rnacentral:rRNA from 1 species
CUGUCGUCAGCUCGUGUCGUGAGAUGUUGGGUUAAGUCCCGUAACGAGCGCAACCCCUAUCCUUAUUUGCCAGCACAUCAUGGUGGGAACUAUAAGGAGACUGCCGGUGAUAAACCGGAGGAAGGCGGGGACGACGUCAAGUCAUCAUGGCCCUUACGACCAGGGCUACACACGUGCUACAAUGGGAAGGACAAAGAGCCGCGAAGCCGCGAGGUGUAGUUAAUCUCAGAAACCUUUUCGUAGUCCGGAUUGGAGUUUGCAACUCGACUCCAUGAAGUCGGAAUCGCUAGUAAUCGUAGAUCAGAAUCCUACGGUGAAUACGUU